AACGCACAUUGCGCCCGCCGGUAUUCCGGCGGGCAUGCCUGUUCGAGCGUCAUUUCACCACUCAAGCCCAGCUUGGUGUUGGGGCACCCGGCCGCCCAGCGGCCCGGGGCCCCCAAGUCCAUCGGCGGGCUCGUCGGGACCCUGAGCGCAGUAACACGCGGUAAAACGCGCCCUCGCUCGGCGGAUCCAGUCGGGUUCCAGCCGCUAAACCCCCCUAAACUUCUUAGGUUGACCUCGGAUCAGGUAGGAAUACCCGCUGAACUUAA
rnacentral:misc_RNA from 1 species